rnacentral:rRNA from 1 species
ACGUACACUCCUACGGGAGGCAGCGGUGGGGAAUAUUGGACAAUGGGCGCAAGCCUGAUCCAGCCAUGCCGCGUGAGUGAUGAAGGCCCUAGGGUUGUAAAGCUCUUUCACCGGUGAAGAUAAUGACGGUAACCGGAGAAGAAGCCCCGGCUAACUUCGUGCCAGCAGCCGCGGUAAUACGAAGGGGGCUAGCGUUGUUCGGAUUUACUGGGCGUAAAGCGCACGUAGGCGGACUAUUAAGUCAGGGGUGAAAUCCCGGGGCUCAACCCCGGAACUGCCUUUGAUACUGGUAGUCUUGAGUUCGAGAGAGGUGAGUGGAAUUCCGAGUGUAGAGGUGAAAUUCGUAGAUAUUCGGAGGAACACCAGUGGCGAAGGCGGCUCACUGGCUCGAUACUGACGCUGAGGUGCGAAAGCGUGGGGAGCAAACAGGAUUAGAAACCCCGGUAGUCC